rnacentral:rRNA from 1 species
CCUACGGGAGGCAGCAGUGGGGAAUAUUGGGCAAUGGAGGAAACUCUGACCCAGCAACGCCGCGUGAAUGAUGAAGGUCUUCGGAUUGUAAAGUUCUUUUCUAAGGGAAGAAGAAAGUGACGGUACCUUAGUAAUAAGCCUCGGCUAACUACGUGCCAGCAGCCGCGGUAAUACGUAGGGGGCAAGCGUUAUCCGGAUUUACUGGGUGUAAAGGGAGCGUAGACGGCAGCACAAGUCUGGAGUGAAAUCCCGGGGCUUAACCCCGGAACUGCUUUGGAAACUGUUCGGCUGGAGUGCAGGAGGGGUAAGCGGAAGUCCUAGUGUAGCGGUGAAAUGUGUAGAUAUUAGGCAGAACACCGGUGGCGAAGGCGGCUUACUGGACUGUAACUGACGUUGAGGCUCGAAAGCGUGGGGAGCAAACAGGAUUAGAUACCCGGGUAGUC